CAGCAAAAAACAGGACAGCCAGCUCAUGCAAAGGUUAAGUGCAAGUUCGCCCAUCCAUCUUUGUGGUUUGCUGCCCAUCCUUCCCAAAUCCUACAACCUCCUGGCCUUGACUAUCGGUGCUCAGCACUCUGGAGUGGUGCACGUCGCUGACUGCAGCCGUACUGCCUGGGCGCCCUUUGACAGACGGGUCCGUUUUCCACACAAAUCGAGGGAGGCAGUGGUGGUGCUGAACACCUGUUGUAAUUUCCAUCUGGAAUAGGUUCUUGUCUCUACAGUUCUGCCUUGUUGUGUUUGCUGAAACUGUGUUUCUUUCCCGAGGGCCCCGAAUGGCUGGUCACAGGGGCCUGGGGAGAGGCUGAGGCUGGGAGCCCUGGCCCUGUCCUGUCUGUGCUGUGAACAUGCCUGACCUUGACUUGUGUUGCCCGCUUUCUCUCAUCCUUCCUUCCCUCUAGGUCUGUGCUGUCCAAUAGGGGAGCCAGCAGCCACCUGUGGCCAGUGAGCGCUUGAAAUCCAGCUCAUAAACGGAGGGGCUCCAUUUUCCAUUUAUUUCAGAUGUAACGAAAUCUAAAUACAGAUCCAUGUACUUCUGACAAAAAUUUAGUGCCUGAAUAGAGAUGUGCUAUAAGGAUAAAAUACAUACUGGAUUUCAAACACUUAGCAUGAAAAAAAGAAGGGCACGAGUGCUGUCCCUGAUACUGCGGUCCUGGAGCCCUGGCACGAGGCACACACAGCAGGCUGACCCCUGAACCAGGAGUCCUGGGGAUGGAGGUCACCAGAGGAA